GGUAGGGAAAAACCUGAAACAGGAAUUCUCUGAGUCUCUGGAUCGUCUUUGCCCUAAACUUGUUGAAAUCAUCAGGUCAAAGAGAGGUCUAAAGGGACAACUUCUGGAUGGUCUGUUGCGCCAAACAAAGACAUCGGACACUGCUGACAUCAGAUGCCUUGUCCUGAGAGGGCUUCCAAUACUCUUUGAUGACAACUCAGCUGAUUUCUUCAAGACUUGCUUUGUCACUAAUGACGAGGGCGUAUACAGACACAUUGGAACAGGAAUCCUCUGCUUCACUGAGGAAGAUAUUGCACCGCAUCCUCUGACUCCAUCUUCUUGGAGGGGACUCCAAGUGUGUGUGAGAGUGAGAGUGAGUGUGGGAGACGGGGAUAGAGCAGAUGUAUUGUGUACCUAGCUGUGUGAGAGUGAGAGUGAGUGUGGGAGACGGGGAUAGAGCAGAUGUAUUGUGUACCUAGCUGUGUGAGAGUGAGAGUGAGUGUGGGAGACGGGGAGAGAACAGUUGUAUUGUAGCUGUGUGCAGGCUGGUAUUGUGGGGACGCUAAAAAGGAAAGUAUUAACACUGACAAAUCAGCUGUAAAGUGUGAAUGUGAGUGAGUGUGUCUGAGUGAAUGUGAGUGAGUGUGUCUGAGUGAAUGUGAGUGAGUGU